rnacentral:tRNA from 1 species
GGACAGUUACCCAAGUGGUUAAGGGGAACGCUUGGAAAGCGUUUAGGUCGCGCAAGCGAUGCAACGGUUCGAAUCCGUUAUUGUCCGCCA